CUUCCCCACUCCUACGGGAGGCAGCAGUGGGGAAUAUUGCACAAUGGGCGAAAGCCUGAUGCAGCGACGCCGCGUGAGGGAUGACGGCCUUCGGGUUGUAAACCUCUUUCGCUCAUGGUCAAGCCGCAACUCAAGGUUGUGGUGAGGGUAGUGGGUAAAGAAGCGCCGGCUAACUACGUGCCAGCAGCCGCGGUAAUACGUAGGGCGCGAGCGUUGUCCGGAAUUAUUGGGCGUAAAGGGCUUGUAGGCGGUUGGUCGCGUCUGCCGUGAAAUCCUCUGGCUUAACUGGGGGCGUGCGGUGGGUACGGGCUGACUUGAGUGCGGUAGGGGAGACUGGAACUCCUGGUGUAGCGGUGGAAUGCGCAGAUAUCAGGAAGAACACCGGUGGCGAAGGCGGGUCUCUGGGCCGUUACUGACGCUGAGGAGCGAAAGCGUGGGGAGCGAACAGGAUUAGAUACCCUGGUAGUCCACGCUGU
rnacentral:rRNA from 1 species